rnacentral:rRNA from 1 species
GGUUAAGCGACUAAGCGUACACGGUGGAUGCCCUGGCAGUCAGAGGCGAUGAAGGGCGUGCUAAUCUGCGAUAAGCGCCGGUAAGGUGAUAUGAACCGUUAUAACCGGCGAUACCCGAAUGGGGAAACCCAGUGUGAUUCGUCACACUAUCAUUAACUGAAUCCAUAGGUUAAUGAGGCGAACCGGGGGAACUGAAACAUCUAAGUACCCCGAGGAAAAGAAAUCAACCGAGAUUCCCCCAGUAGCGGCGAGCGAACGGGGAGGAGCCCAGAGCCUGAAUCAGCAUGUGUGUUAGUGGAAGCGUCUGGAAAGGCGCGCGAUACAGGGUGACAGCCCCGUACACAAAAGCGCAUGUGCUGUGAGCUCGAUGAGUAGGGCGGGACACGUGGUAUCCUGUCUGAAUAUGGGGGGACCAUCCUCCAAGGCUAAAUACUCCUGACUGACCGAUAGUGAACCAGUACCGUGAGGGAAAGGCGAAAAGAACCCCGGCGAGGGGAGUGAAAAAGAACCUGAAACCGUGUACGUACAAGCAGUGGGAGCACCCUUCGGGGUGUGACUGCGUACCUUUUGUAUAAUGGGUCAGCGACUUAUAUUCUGUAGCAAGGUUAACCGUAUAGGGGAGCCGGAGGGAAACCGAGUCUUAACCGGGCGUUAAGUUGCAGGGUAUAGACCCGAAACCCGGUGAUCUAGCCAUGGGCAGGUUGAAGGUUGGGUAACACUAACUGGAGGACCGAACCGACUAAUGUUGAAAAAUUAGCGGAUGACCUGUGGCUGGGGGUGAAAGGCCAAUCAAACCGGGAGAUAGCUGGUUCUCCCCGAAAGCUAUUUAGGUAGCGCCUCGUGAAUUCAUCUCCGGGGGUAGAGCACUGUUUCGGCUAGGGGGCCAUCCCGGCUUACCAACCCGAUGCAAACUGCGAAUACCGGAGAAUGUUAUCACGGGAGACACACGGCGGGUGCUAACGUCCGUCGUGAAGAGGGAAACAACCCAGACCGCCAGCUAAGGUCCCAAAGUCAUGGUUAAGUGGGAAACGAUGUGGGAAGGCCCAGACAGCCAGGAUGUUGGCUUAGAAGCAGCCAUCAUUUAAAGAAAGCGUAAUAGCUCACUGGUCGAGUCGGCCUGCGCGGAAGAUGUAACGGGGCUAAACCAUGCACCGAAGCUGCGGCAGCGAACGUAUCACCCAAGACAACUUUACGGAGUUGACGAUUGACGGAGCGAAGCGACGUCAAAGCGUUCAUUAAAGUCGAGUUGGCUUAGGGAUACGUUCGUUGGGUAGGGGAGCGUUCUGUAAGCCUGUGAAGGUGUGUCGUGAGGCAUGCUGGAGGUAUCAGAAGUGCGAAUGCUGACAUAAGUAACGAUAAAGCGGGUGAAAAGCCCGCUCGCCGGAAGACCAAGGGUUCCUGUCCAACGUUAAUCGGGGCAGGGUGAGUCGACCCCUAAGGCGAGGCCGAAAGGCGUAGUCGAUGGGAAACGGGUUAAUAUUCCCGUACUUGGUGUUACUGCGAAGGGGGGACGGAGAAGGCUAUGUUGGCCGGGCGACGGUUGUCCCGGUUUAAGCGUGUAGGUGUGUGUUCCAGGUAAAUCCGGUUCACUUUAACACUGAGGCGUGACGACGAGGCACUACGGUGCUGAAGCAACAAAUGCCCUGCUUCCAGGAAAAGCCUCUAAGCAUCAGGUAACAUCAAAUCGUACCCCAAACCGACACAGGUGGUCAGGUAGAGAAUACCAAGGCGCUUGAGAGAACUCGGGUGAAGGAACUAGGCAAAAUGGUGCCGUAACUUCGGGAGAAGGCACGCUGACACGUAGGUGAAGUGAUUUACUCAUGGAGCUGAAGUCAGUCGAAGAUACCAGCUGGCUGCAACUGUUUAUUAAAAACACAGCACUGUGCAAACACGAAAGUGGACGUAUACGGUGUGACGCCUGCCCGGUGCCGGAAGGUUAAUUGAUGGGGUCAGCGCAAGCGAAGCUCCUGAUCGAAGCCCCGGUAAACGGCGGCCGUAACUAUAACGGUCCUAAGGUAGCGAAAUUCCUUGUCGGGUAAGUUCCGACCUGCACGAAUGGCGUAAUGAUGGCCAGGCUGUCUCCACCCGAGACUCAGUGAAAUUGAACUCGCUGUGAAGAUGCAGUGUACCCGCGGCAAGACGGAAAGACCCCGUGAACCUUUACUAUAGCUUGACACUGAACAUUGAGCCUUGAUGUGUAGGAUAGGUGGGAGGCUUUGAAGUGUGGACGCCAGUCUGCAUGGAGCCGACCUUGAAAUACCACCCUUUAAUGUUUGAUGUUCUAACGUGGACCCGUUACCCGGGUUGCGGACAGUGUCUGGUGGGUAGUUUGACUGGGGCGGUCUCCUCCUAAAGAGUAACGGAGGAGCACGAAGGUUGGCUAAUCCUGGUCGGACAUCAGGAGGUUAGUGCAAUGGCAUAAGCCAGCUUGACUGCGAGCGUGACGGCGCGAGCAGGUGCGAAAGCAGGUCAUAGUGAUCCGGUGGUUCUGAAUGGAAGGGCCAUCGCUCAACGGAUAAAAGGUACUCCGGGGAUAACAGGCUGAUACCGCCCAAGAGUUCAUAUCGACGGCGGUGUUUGGCACCUCGAUGUCGGCUCAUCACAUCCUGGGGCUGAAGUAGGUCCCAAGGGUAUGGCUGUUCGCCAUUUAAAGUGGUACGCGAGCUGGGUUUAGAACGUCGUGAGACAGUUCGGUCCCUAUCUGCCGUGGGCGCUGGAGAACUGAGGGGGGCUGCUCCUAGUACGAGAGGACCGGAGUGGACGCAUCACUGGUGUUCGGGUUGUCAUGCCAAUGGCACUGCCCGGUAGCUAAAUGCGGAAGAGAUAAGUGCUGAAAGCAUCUAAGCACGAAACUUGCCCCGAGAUGAGUUCUCCCUGAGACUUAGAGUCUCCUGAAGGAACGUUGAAGACGACGACGUUGAUAGGCCGGGUGUGUAAGCGCAGCGAUGCGUUGAGCUAACCGGUACUAAUGAACCGUGAGGCUUAACCUUAC